GUCAGAAGGUGUGGAGAAGCGGUCCAGACAUGGCAGUCAGGUCUCGCCAUCUGCCUGUGUCAGAAGACCUCAAUUCAGCCUGUGGAUGUCCUUGACCCAAGAGUCUGAUCGUCAUUAAAUCGGCCACAGCCUCCACUUUCCCGGCAGAAAUCCAUUCUGUUUGCACCGUGGGAUGAGGUAGUAGGUUGUAUAGUUUUAGGGUCACACCCGCACUGGGAGAUAACUAUUCAACCUACUGUCUUUCUCAAAGUGCCAUGUACAUGUCUCCAUGGAUCCUUCAUGUCUUCUGAAGGCCACUUUUCAGUCGUGGUUGCACAGGGAAAAUAUGUUUUAUCACAGUUGCUCACACAGUGUGAGGUAGUAGAUUGUAUAGUUUUAGGGUUUUGAUUUUGCCCUGUUUGGGAGAUAACUAUACAAUUUAUUGCCUUCCCUGUGGAGUGGCAUGUCUUCAGUGUAUAAUAUUUAGUAUUCAUGAAGUGUUUUAUGCCACCAAAAAGCUUUUUGUAACACUGACCGGAGUGAUUGUUUUCAGAAAUUCUUCUUUUCUCUUGCGUGCCUUCAAAGUUUUGAGCUUGUAAUGUGUGCGCCGUUAUCAUCUUUUGUGAAGACCCGAUAAUAAGGUGACAUGUCGUGCAACGGCGGCAAAGAUGCGUCUGUGAUUAGCUGACCUGCACACAGGAUUUCUUACAUGUUUGUUUACACAUUAAUUUACAUUUACUCUUCCACCAAUAUCAGAGGCAUUAGAAUGCCAAUUGUAGCGUCAUUGGUCACAGCUAUCUAACACAGACGUUAAAGGCCCUGCACACCAUCACAGGUGUCCUCACCUAUUCUGUCUCACACUUGUGCUGAGAAUGAUUUACGGUAUAAGUCUCACUGUACCAGGUGCAACAGAACUGACUGGAUGCACUUUGGAACAUGGGAAUAGUAGUUACACAGUUGUGUCAAUAGAUGGUGCUAUAGUCCUUUAAUUCAAAAUCUGAACCAUUAAAGAAAUUAUGGUCUUCAA